GCCGCGAGGCAGAGCAAAACCCUAAAAAAUAGGUCCCAGUUCGGAUCGCAGGCUGCAACCCGCCUGCGUGAAGUUGGAAUUGCUAGUAAUCGCGGAUCAGCAUGCCGCGGUGAAUACGUUCCCGGGCCUUGUACACACCGCCCGUCACACCAUGGAAGUCGGUAAUGCCCGAAGUCAGUAGCCUAACCGCAAGGAGGGCGCUGCCGAAGGCAGGAUUGAUGACUGGGGUGAAGUCGUAACAAGGUAGC
rnacentral:rRNA from 1 species